rnacentral:lncRNA from 1 species
CCUUUCAAUUCUUACAAACCCAAAAUAUAAGGAAUUCUAAACCAAACCAUUACUUCACCUUCGGAAAAAACUGAAUAUACUAUAUGGAACUACGUUAAUGAAGUUAUUAUGUCCAGUCUAGUUUAUUACAAAUCCAAAAGAAACUGAGUAAAGUAAAGUAAAGAUAUAAAUUACAUAAUUUCCUUAAACUAAUUUCACAAAGAAAACUUUCGAAACAGCUACUGCUCCAGCUUUGAGCGAGCCAAGAUUUCUAUGAAUUUGACCAUGGGGAAUGGGUCUGAUUCAUAAAAGCAUCUUCAGGAAGGGACUAUAACAUUGCCAAGUUAAUCCUAAUACUAAGAUGAGUAAAGGAAAGAUAAUGAUGUCCAUAGGUCUAACCAUGUUUAAGGUCAACUCUAUGGGCGUGAAAAGAUCUCCAAACCAUAAUUUAAUCCAUGGUUUUCAUUUCAGUAGAGGAGGAAAGAGGGAAAGGGGAAAUAACUUAGACACAUACUAAAGCAAAUGAAGACUAUUAUACACUAUUUACGGAUGGAUCUGACCAUUCAAAGGGUCAGAUUCACUACCUUUUGUGUUGCCCUAAGAGAGUGGAAAUAGUAUGAACGUUUACUGAAUAAAAUCCAGAUUAUUCUGCACUAAAAAGCGUGUAAAUCUGACCAUUUGGGAGGUCAGAUUCACCUCCCUGUUGUGCAGCUGCAGCAAAAAAAACUUUGGACAUGGAUUUCACAAAUGCAUACAUACUCCUAUUUAGCAGUACAUCUCAAUAGACCAUAUGCUUCAAACAAUCAUGUAAUACUACAACAUAACCUAAUUAUCUUCAAAAACAGUCAUGAUUCACAAACCAAAUACCAAAUAUCAGCUAAAUAAACAAGUUUCAAAUGCAGAUUUUAAAUGCAAAAUUUGAUUCCAGCAAAAGAAACAUUGUACAUACCUUGAAAUUGAAAAAUAUGACUAUAAAAAUGACUAAAUAAAGGCCCAGAGAGUUCGAAGAGAAGUGGAAACCAGACUUCAGCAGUAAACCAGCAAAUCAGCAGCAACAAAAUCAGAAAUGACCCAGAGAUUUCAAACAAACCCACAACCAGCUUCAAACCAAAAGAUUCAGCUAGAGAACUAAGCAAAUCUAUUCAAACCAUGUUCUUGACUUGCACAAAAUCAAAGAAUGAGAGAAGAUUUUUGAGUUUUUUUCUAGAAUUUCUAGAAUCUGAAGUUUUUAGAGUAGGAAAUAUUUUUUGCAGUAAUUUUAGAUAGGAAAAUCUCUGUGUGUAUGAGUGAGGGAAUGCUUCUUAUAUAGAGUGCACAAAAGAGCAUUAUAAAAGGAAUAUUCUAACCUAAAUUCCUGAAAAUCAUAAUAGUACAGCACCUUUUACAGUUGUCUGUCCUUUUCUUUAUCUAAUACCAACAUUUAGGCUAAGGAAAGGGACAGCUGUGCUGUAGUCUGGAACUUUUCUAUUUUCAACCCAAUGUGAAACCCCAUUUUACCCUUCUAAAGUCUGUUUAUUGCAACUUUAGCCUAAAUGCUGAUUUUUAAAAUAAUUGUAACAAUUGUAAACCUUAACAAGGUGAUCUAAAUUGCUUAAAGGUUUUGUGUUUUAAAUUAUAAAAUUAAACAAGGUUUUCAAAAGGUUGUUCAUAGGCUCGAAUUAAGCUUAACACCAAUUAACCCUGAGUAAACACAUGUUUAUGCAUUUAAAAUUUUGAUUCAAAAGGAAUUUGCUCAAUUUUAAACCAACUCAGAUUAAAUCAAGCUAAAGCUAAAUUAGUCAGUCAAUUAAUCAUGAUUUCUACCCUAAUUGAAUCAAAUUAUGCUGACAACUACUUGCUAACAGAAAUCAUGAGAUGAAGAGAAAGGAACAGAACAUAAAACUCAAAAUCACCAAAACUAUUCAAUAAAAUCCUAAACUAAGAAAUCUAACAAUGAUACUGUUAAAACAGAUAAACAGAUAACAAUGAUACUGUUAAAUUCUAAUUCGUGCAAAUAAACAGGCAUGGGAACAAACAAUCAAAGAAAUAAAAGAAAUGAUGAAAUUAUGGAAAAAAUUAACAACAAACCUUAAACUAUAUGCAAUGAGGGAAACCAAAAUACAAUGAUGAAAAGUAAAGAACGGAGGGGCUAAGAGAAAAGAAAGAGGGAAGGAAGAUAGAACAAUGGUCUAGAAGAUUACAUAUUAUAUAGCCAACCGGGGCCGAAGGACUUGAUUGGGGACAAACUCAAGCAAUAGGUCAAAUCCACAUGGAUCAACUGCUCUUAUCAAAAGCAGUAAACCCAUGUACAAUUAAGCCAUUAAGACUCCAUGAAUCAUCUUGAUAGAAAUUCCUAGCGUUUCGGAAUCCCAGAUCCAAAAUUGUGGGGUUUGGUGAGAUUCUUUGGGAAAUCGAGGGUCAGGUAGUGAUGAUGGGAGAUUGAGGGUAAGCUGGUGUGAAUUUGGGGCUUUUCCGGCAACUUGGUGUUUUGGGCCGGCUGCUUCGAUUGAAAAUUCGACGAGCUCGGUGGGGAUUCGAGGAAAGCUAUUUGGAAAUUAGGAUGGGGCAAGGAUGGAGAUCCAGUGGUGUAAAUUUGGGGAUUUUUGGGUGACUUCUGAUUUUGGCCGGCUUUCUUUUAUUCGAGGUUCGAGAAACUUGCAUGGAUUCGAGGACAACUUGUUGUAUAUUUGGAAAGCGAAUUUGGGGUCGAUUUGAGCAUCGCCGACGACAGAAACGAUUUUUGGCAGGCGGUUCGCGGUGGAGACAGCGAGGGAUUAAAGGGCGGCUAGGGUUUGAUCCCAAAGAUAAUGAGAGACGAGUGAGGGAGGGGGCCUGAUGGGGGGUAGGUCAUCUUUACAGUUAAAUAGUAGAAUACAAAUCAGUUGCGGACCAUUGGAUUGAUAAGAUCCAAAGACUAUGAUGGGGCGUUACAAAAUUGGGGUUGUUUGGGUCAAGGGAAGGCUAGGCAGGGUUGAUCAGUCAUUUGGGCUUGGGUCUUGGGUGGACUUGGCCGUUUUUGGGGCGUAAUUUGGGAUGAUUUGGAGGUCCAAUUCCCAAAUUAAAUCCCCUUUCUCAUUUCCCCUUUUAUUAAUUUUUAAUUAAGAAUCCCAAUAAUUAAAAACCCUAAAUUGCCUAAAAAUGUAACAAAUUAAGCUAAUUAAUUAUUUACAAAAUCAUAAAAGCUACUUAAAUUCUAAAUUAAAAGGAAAAAUCAAUAAAAGAAAAAAUAUAGAAGUUGGCCAUUAUUUGUGAUUUUAAUUUUCUAAUAAAGCAUAUAAUUAAUUAACCAAUUCUAAAGUUAUGAAAAUAAAUGCUAAAUGCGAUGCAUGAUAUUUUGGUAUUUUUAUGGUUCUAAAUAAAAUUUAACAUGCAAGAAAAAUGCACACAAUUAUUAAAAAUCUAUAAAAAUUCCUAAAAAUGGUAAAUAAUUAAGAAAAAAGUUAUUUUCUCGAAUUUUGUAGGGGUAUUUUGUAUAGGGCAAAAAUCACGUGCUCACAAUGACUCAACCGGUCAUCUUAAUAAUUAUCGUCCCAAUCCCCUAUUAAUUGCUUUCCCCGAGUAUAGCUCUGCUACUUUGAUUUUUCGGAAUGUUCGGUUCUAAGUUUCUGACAGUUUUGGGACACUUAGUCCCUAAAUGAGAGCUUAAGUGUUUGAAAAUUAGCCAUAGUCGGAACAGUAUAAAGGCAACCUUGGAAUGAAAAUCCAAUGGUUCCUUUAGCUUCGUUAGGUGAUUUUAGGGUUAGGAGCAUGAUCGGAAUGUGUUUUGGAGGUCCGUAGCUAAUUUAUGCUUGAAAUGCCGAAUGCUGAAUUUUGGAAGUUUCUAGUUCAAUAGCGAUAUUUUGAUUCGAGGAUUGGAAUGGGAUUCCAAGAGUUCCGGUUGUUCCAUUAUGUCAUUUGGGAUGUGCGUGCAAUGUUUCAGGUCAUUCGGACGAGGUUUGAUAGACUUUUUUUUAUCAAAAGCGAAAAUUCAGGAGAUUUUAUAAACUUAAGCUUCAAUCCGAUGUAUUUGGAGGGAUUUGGUGUUAUUUGAGGUGUUUUGGUGAUUCGAACAAGUUUGAACGAUGUCAAGGGAUGUGUUGGUACAAUUGGUUUGAAGUCCCGGGGAUUCGGGCGAGUUCCGGUAGAUUCCGGGAUGUUUUAGGCCAAAAAUCAUAGUUGUAGAAGGCCCAGAAGGGUUGCAGGACACAGAACUAACCAGAGCGUUCCACACAAAAUGAAGUGCGUCCAUGGUGAGUGCUGUGUGGACCGCACAAAAUGAUGUGUGUCCAGGGUAGGUGCUAUCCCGACGGCACAAAAUGGUGUGCGGCAGCGGUGAAGAACAUUUCACUAGUCCUACUUCGGAAGCUCAUAUCCUUUGAUCUACAAGGAAUUUUGAGAUGAUUUAAAAAUAAAAGUUGUAGCCCUUCGUGUCUAAUUUCCAUAAAAGAAAAUAUCUUAGAAUUUGGACAUCUGUAGCAAAAGUUAUAGCCAAAAUACUAAAUCUUGUCACUGCAAUCAAAACCUAUGCGGCCACGGUCGUCUUUGUGCGAUCCGCAGAGGUGGGAAUCAGUGAGACACAUACUAAAGCAAAUGAAGACUAUUAUACACUAUUUACGGAUGGAUCUGACCAUUCAAAGGGUCAGAUUCACUACCUUUUGUGUUGCCCUAAGAGAGUGGAAAUAGUAUGAACGUUUACUGAAUAAAAUCCAGAUUAUUCUGCACUAAAAAGCGUGUAAAUCUGACCAUUUGGGAGGUCAGAUUCACCUCCCUGUUGUGCAGCUGCAGCAAAAAAAACUUUGGACAUGGA